rnacentral:rRNA from 1 species
UACGAACCGAGCGAACGUUGUUCGGAAUCACUGGGCUUAAAGGGCGCGUAGGCGGGCUAUCAAGUCCGGGGUGAAAUCCUCCAGCUUAACUGGAGAACUGCCUCGGAUACUGAUGGUCUCGAGGGAGAUAGGGGCAAGCGGAACUGUGGGUGGAGCGGUGAAAUGCGUUGAUAUCCAUAGGAACUCCGGUGGCGAAGGCGGCUUGCUGGAUCUCAUCUGACGCUGAGGCGCGAAAGCCAGGGGAGCAAACGGG